AAGAUCCUCAUUUGUGUUCCGAAGAUAAACGAAAGUCUUACAGGUUUGGAACUACAUGAGGGUUUUCUGCUGACAUCAACAUCAAGGUGAAUAGCAGGACAUUUGUUGAAAAGUCACAGCAAUCCUGCAUCUAGAUGGCAGCAAAGCAAAGACUGGGAAUUUUUCAUCAAAGCUUCAGCAUCUGAAGCCAUCGCCAGCAUAGCCCUUCUCACACUGGCAAGUGUACGAGCCUUCUGUGUUCACACAGCUAGCUUGGUGGCUGCAGCGAUGGUUGCCUGUCAGACACUCAUCUUUAUCUGUAACGCAUAAGAGAGGAAAACUCAGCUGGCUAAACUCAGUCUGGACACAAAGCUCUGGUUUGGAAAAGGGGGCAGUGGACCAGUCAACGAGUACAUGCAGGAAUGUUGUGACAUGGAAGGUAGUUGGAAUCUCGGCGCAACUGCUUUCGGUGAAAAUCUGGAAAGCACAGCCCUCCGUCCUUCCUUCCAUAGUACUGGCAGAACUCAUCCACGUCGGCUUGGAACAGUUCUAAAAAACACAGACAGACAGACAACUGGUCUCAGCCUGAGAUAGACACCACACAGGGUCCAUUGAUGAUGUAAUAACCUCCAAAACCAACUGAAUCCCCUACAGUCAAAGCUGUACUCGAUUCAAGUAUGUCCUCAGCCAUCAGACGGCUUAUUGUGUGGACGUUUUGGUGGUGAUUCCGGUGCCAAGCUCAAUUCCAAUCUUGUCUAUGGUGCAUUUAUAAAGUACUGAGUCUCAAAUCAA